rnacentral:lncRNA from 1 species
AAUAGAAUACUAACAAUGCUCUAAUUAGACUAUAAUAAUGGUAAACAAACGUAAUCAAAUUCAAAACAAUUCAAAGAAAUUUCAAACAAACAAUAAAAUUCUUAAAGAAAUAUUAGAAUGAUCACAAAUAUUACUCAAAUAUAUGUUGAUUCAACCUUAAUUUAAUUCUAGUUAAAACCCUAUUGAAUUUCACUCAAACUUUAGACCAAACCUAAUUAAAUCUUAAACUCUAAUAAAUCCUAAACCUUAAGUCAAAUCCUAAAUAAACCUUAAAUUAAAUCCUAAAUCAAACCCUAUUUCAAAUCCUAAAUCCUAAACCAAACCUUAAAUCAAAUCCUAAUCUAAACCCUAAAUCAAAUCCUAAACCCUAAUCCAAACCCUAAUCCAAAUCCUAAAUCAAACCCUAACCAAACCCUAAAUCUUAAUCUAAAUCCUAAUCCAACCCUAAAUCCUAACCAAACCCUAAAUCCUAAUCCAACCCUAAAUCCUAACCAAAUCCUAAAUCCUAAUCCAAAU